rnacentral:rRNA from 1 species
AUUGAACGCUGGCGGCAGGCCUAACACAUGCAAGUCGAGCGGAUGAAGGGAGCUUGCUCCUGGAUUCAGCGGCGGACGGGUGAGUAAUGCCUAGGAAUCUGCCUGGUAGUGGGGGAUAACGUCCGGAAACGGGCGCUAAUACCGCAUACGUCCUGAGGGAGAAAGUGGGGGAUCUUCGGACCUCACGCUAUCAGAUGAGCCUAGGUCGGAUUAGCUAGUUGGUGGGGUAAAGGCCUACCAAGGCGACGAUCCGUAACUGGUCUGAGAGGAUGAUCAGUCACAGUGGAACUGAGAGACGGACCAGACUCCUACGGGAGGCAGCAGUGGGGAAUAUUGGACAAUGGGCGAAAGCCUGAUCCAGCCAUGCCGGGUGUGUGAAGAAGGUCUUCGGAUUGUAAAGCACUUUAAGUUGGGAGGAAGGGCAGUAAGUUAAUACCUUGCUGUUUUGACGUGACCAACAGAAUAAGCACCGGCUAACUUCGU